GACGAACGCUGGCGGCGUGCUUAAUACAUGCAAGUCGAACGAACGGACCCGAAGUUUGUUUCUUUGUUGUUAGCGGCGGACGUGUGUGUAACACGUGGAUAAUCUACCUAUAUGUCUGGGAUCAUCUCGGGAAACCGGCGCUUAUACCGGAUAAUCUUUUGCACCGCAUUGUUCAAAAGUGAAAUACGGUCUUGCGGUCACUUAUAGCUGGAUCCGCGCUGCAUUAGCUAGUUGGUAAGGUAAAGGCUUACCAAGGCAACGAUGCAUAGCCGACCUGAGAGGGUGAUCGGCCACACUGGAACUGAGACACGGUCCAGACUCCUACGGGAGGCAGCAGUAGGGAAUCUUCCGCAAUGGGCGAAAGCCUGACGGAGCAACGCCGCGUGAGUGAUGAAGGUCUUCGGAUCGUAAAACUCUGUUAUUAGGGAAGAACAUAUGUGUAAGUAACUGUGCACAUCUUGACGGUACCUAAUCAGAAAGCCACGGCUAACUACGUG
rnacentral:rRNA from 1 species